GAUAACCUUUUUGAGCACUUUUCAGCCGUUGCACAGCGUCUUGGAGUCUACACCGCCAAGGACUAUGCCGAUAUAUUGGAAUUCUUGGUGGGCAGGUGGAAGGUGGAGAAAUUGACUGGACUUUCUGCUGAGGGCAAAAAAGCUCAGGACUAUGUCUGCGGGUUACCUCCAAGAAUUAGAAAGCUGGAAGAAAGAGCUCAAGGGAGGGCCAAGCAAGGACCCAUCAUUCCUUUCAGUUGGAUUUUUGAUAGACAAGUGCAGCUCUGAGUGCAAAAUGC
rnacentral:lncRNA from 1 species